CCUACGGGAGGCAGCAGUGAGGAAUAUUGGUCAAUGGGCGCGAGCCUGAACCAGCCAAGUAGCGUGAAGGAUGACUGCCCUACGGGUGGUAAACUUCUGUUAUAAAGGAAUAAAGUGAGGCACGUGUGCCUUUUUGUAUGUACUUUAUGAAUAAGGAUCGGCUAACUCCGUGCCAGCAGCCGCGGUAAUACGGAGGUUCCGAGCGUUAUCCGGAGUUAUUGGGUUUACAGGGAGCGUAGAUGGGUUGUUAAGUCAGUUGUGACAGUUUGCGGCUCCACCGUACAAUUGCCAUUGAUACUGGCAGCCUUGCGUACAUUUGCGGUCGGCGGACUUCGUUGUGUAGCGG
rnacentral:rRNA from 1 species